AGUGACUGCCUCUCCAACCACUAGGGCA
rnacentral:piRNA from 1 species